rnacentral:lncRNA from 1 species
UAGGUCAUCCAUCAUAUGUAUAUAUAUUGUACCUUUGAUGAAGAAAUACAAAAUGUGAAUACAGAAGUUUUCAGCAAUAAUCUUCUUCGGUCUUUUUCCCUUUUAGUAAGAACCUUAGAAAUGCUGCACUAAUUUGAUUAAAAGAUAAACAAUAGGAAAGCAGUCUUUUUAAUAUACUUUCCACGAUAAAAUGUUAUGUUCGAAAAAUGUUAUGGUACAACUAAGAAUUGCUUGGCAAGGUCCAAAUAGUGCUACUAGCACAACAAUAAUAAUCAAUUCUUCCUGUCAGGUAGAAUAUGCUACACGGAUAAAGUUAGACUCGUAAAAAGAACUAUUUUUUAUAUAAUUCUAUUUCUAUUAGUUAAUUAAGUAGGCAAAGUAGGCAAUAGCCCUUCUUUCAUAGCCAUUUCCAACAGUGCAACAGCCACCAGAACUUNNNNNN